ACUUUCUAGAUGACACUAAAGAUGGACUCUUCUCCAGGCUUCGUGGCUGUGAUACUUCUCAUACUCGGAAGGACCCAUGGAGAUUCCGUGACUCAAACAGAAGGCCAAGUGACCGUCUCAGAAAGCAAGACCCUGACAAUAAAUUGCACGUACUCAGCCUCAAGCAUAGCUUACCCUACUCUUUUCUGGUAUGUUCGUUAUCCUGGAGAAGGUCUACAACUCCUCCUGAAAGUCAUCACGGCUGGCCAGAAGGGAAGCAGCAGAGGUUUUGAAGCCACAUACAAUAAAGAAACCACCUCCUUCCACUUGCGGAAAGCCUCAGUGCAGGAGUCAGACUCGGCUGUGUACUACUGUGCUCUGGGUGACACAGUGGCAGAAACUGCAGGGGGAGCUGAACACAAACCGAGAGGUGACAGGUGGUCUGGCUGCUGA